CCCUACAGUGAAAUGAGACCUUCUAUCUUCUCUUGAGUUCUUUCUGGAUGACAGCACCACUCAUUGAAGAAGCUUCAAGUAGACUAAGGAGUUUGGAUAGGAAACUCUCAUGAGAAAACUAAAAAACUGUGGUACCAAUGUGGACAGAGGAUUCAUAUUGCUAAGAAGUUUUCAUGACUUGCUUUUUUUAACCUGAGUUACCAGAAAUCAUAUCCUACAUGGUCUCUCACUGAUUGCAUGGACAUGAACACCACCCAAGGCAAGAGUAUUGCUGCUCAGAGAGGAAGCGUACUCCAUCAAAACAUGGCUCUCCUUCCACUGCAGAACAUGGAACUUGCUCUACAAGGAGUUGGAGUGGAGCUCUUCUCACGCCUUUCACAGAUUUUAUGCUAAACAAUUCUGUUGGGUCCAUGGAAAAGCCAAAGGCACUGAUCUUUUGGUUGAUGAUUGCACAGAAGUCUGUGGAGAAGUAUCGUGCUGUUGUGCAAGGGAUCGCAGACAUGGAGGCCACGAGGCGAUGCCUGCCUUGCAGCAUUCACAAGAACCACCCUGUGCCAUUGGGUACUGGGAAGAACACUGCCGUGUUGAGGGCAACGCAUCCAUGCUCACGCAGCAAUUCAAGUCAUGCUUGACUUGGAGCCUGCGAGCAGUUUCCUCGCCUCCAAUGGAAGAGUGUCAUUUUGUUUGACACCAUUCACGUAUUUUUGUACAGAUACGGUAUUUCUUCUUCACUUCUUUAGCAGCUGCUCUACAACAUUGCUUUCUCUGGAAAUUAUUAGUGCCAGACUGUGUGGGAAGGGCUUGGUACUUCCUGUCCCUAUUGUUUCUGGGGAAGACUGGUUUGCUGCAAAGCGCUACUGGAGAGAAACGGGUGGGAUAACUGUGGCAGCGCUUGCCCAAAGUCCUGGGUUUGGUGUCCUUAAUUUACCAAUCAGUGGAACCAAGUGCUCAGCAUCAGUGGAACCAAGUGUUUCAACAUUUUCUACUAAAGCAGUAAGGGUUGGCUGUCCCGCUGCCAUAGAGCAGGACUAUGGAAUUUUUGGACUUACAUGGAAAUCUGAGGAAACUUCAGAAAUAAUUCUGGAAUAUGCCCAGCAGACUGCAUGGUAACAGAGGAGCUGGCUGAAGAAUUUAUAGCUGUGGAGAGAGAAUAAUAAUCUUUUUCUAAAGAACUGUUGAUCCAGGGAAGGGAAAAAACAACUCAGAAUGCUAACAGAGAAUCUGUCAAUUAUUUUUUUUUCUCUGGUGGACGACUUAUGAGGAACCUAUACCUCCAUAAAUCACAGAAAUAAAACAACACAGCUGAAAUUAACCAGCAGCAUUUAGACGGAAUUUGGGGCGAGGAUCUCACCAGCUUUCUGUAACGCCAGGACUGCAGUGCCAUGUUGUUCUAAUCUCAGGCACUUCCAGCAGAUAAGGUUGCAUAUAAACCACAACCCAUCUGCAAUUUCAGAAGGGCCAAACCAACCCGUUUAGGAAUGGCUAAAUUGCUACUUCUCGAGUUUAAGUGGCAGCUUGAUAAAUGUGACCUAUUUGAUGUUAACUCCAGGGAAGCGUAGCCAAUUUUUCUUUAGUUUAGCCUAAGGGAAAAAGUGUAUUAAAUCUUUGCAUGUUGACAUUUAAAGUCUUUUCAGAACAAGAUCACACCAUUCUAGAAUUUAAGGUUGAAUCAGUUGCUGUUAUAUGUUUACCCUGUGUAAUUAAUUUGUUCUAUUAAUUUACUUCCAGACUCUUUUACUACUCAGGAACCUUAGUUACUUGCCACGAUCCAUAGUACUAGACACUCUCAAACACAUGGUGU
rnacentral:lncRNA from 7 species